GGAGCUGGAGCUGGAGCUGCGAAUUCGGAGUCCCGGUUCCCUGUGCCACCUGGCGAGCUCAGCAAACUAAAAGUCUCUUUGUCUUCAUCGUUUCCGGCACUGAUGUGAGCACAUCAUAAGCACAAGACCUGGACACCUUUACAAUCAGAGGACUGGAGCUCUGGAUCUGACCGGAGCAAAGAGGAAGCACGCAAAUCCGGACAUGACGACGAGGAGGCAGUAGAGACCCAUCCUCAACUGUGCCCUUGUUGAGCUGCUUGAGGCAGAAGGCACAGACGAAGUGCUCGGGGUGGAACUUCUUGGCCAUGGCGGUGAUGCAGCGGCCGGUGAUGGGCUUCUGGCAGCCAGAACACAGCGAGCCGCGCCGCUCGUGGUAGUGCACCUCACAGUAGGGCUGCCCGUCGUGCUCGAAGAAGCUGCCGUUCACGAAUGGCGUGAAGCAUUCCUGCCAGGCGGAGAGAGGGGCUCAGGGAGCUGCCCCUCGGGCUAGAGCUGCACCCUGUGUGAUGGGGCCGAGGUGGGCAUAGUCGGCACGCUCGGAGUGACUCCUACUUGCUAGGCGUUUCCCAUGUGCCGUGUUGUCCUAAACGCUCAUUUUUCAUUUUUAUUUUAUUAAAUAAAUUUUUUUUGUAGA
rnacentral:lncRNA from 1 species